UCACUCUGAACAUAAUUGACUCGAUGGUGGUGGGAUCAAUAAUACAGAGCUGGAUGAAAGAAUUUAAAAGAAACCAAUUCUUUAUUGAAGUUAAUUGACCAGGCUUACUGUUCUCUCUCUUUCUCAGUCAAAGCAGCCUUACUCAGCAAUGGAUCUUUCUAUGCACAAGAAUGUUAAAGAUUGGAUUGCAUGUAAUUAUUUCAUCUGCCAUUUGGGAUGGAUAUAUCACAUUCAGUUCAUUUGUGUCUUAUAUUAGCUACAAGCAUCACUUCUCUGCAGCUGACAUGGUUUACUGUGUUUCUUCCUCUUUAGAAAAAAUUGUUAUAAUACAAGAAGCUCACUCAUUCAAUUGAAAAUAUUGCGUAGGAUCUACUCGCACUUUCAUGUACUUCUAGAAACAUGUAUGCUGAAGAAAUAUUAUUUCCUGGCUGACACGAUCCGUACUGUUUGCAAGUUGUGUGAAUGUACUUUAUUUGACAUCAGAAGGAAAUAAUUAUUGUUUACUAUAAUAAACACCACAAUGCCCCCAUGGAAAUUACCAGCCAUACA